GACGAACGCUGGCGGCGUGCUUAACACAUGCAAGUUGAACGAGAAUUUUUCGAGUGAUUUCUUCGGAAUGGUCAUGAAAACGGAAAGUAGCGAACGGGUGAGUAACACGUGAGAAACCUGCCUUUCACAAAGGGAUAGCCUCGGGAAACCGGGAUUAAUACCUUAUGAAACCAAACACUCGCAUGAGAGAUUGGUUAAAGAUUUAUCGGUGUUAGAUGGUCUCGCGUCUGAUUAGCUAGUUGGUGGGAUAAAAGCCUACCAAGGCAACGAUCAGUAGCCGGAUAGAGAGGUUGAGCGGCCACACUGGAACUGAGACACGGUCCAGACUCCUACGGGAGGCAGCAGUGGGGAAUUUUGCAAAAUGGAGGAAACUCUGAUGCAGCGACGCCGCGUGAGUGAUGAAGGUCUUCGGAUUGUAAAACUCUGUCCUUAGUGAAGAUAAUGACAGUAACUAAGAAGCAAGCCCUGGCUAAAUACGUG
rnacentral:rRNA from 1 species